rnacentral:tRNA from 16 species
UCACCAGUUCAAAUCUGGUUCUUGGCA